rnacentral:misc_RNA from 1 species
CUUGAAAUUCUCCAAGUGAGGUAAGUCAAUUCAAUCUAAUUCUUUAGUGAGAUUGAUUAAGUAUAAUGAAGAAUUAAUUGAUUAUGUAAAAGAAAUUGAAAAAAAAAUUCAUAUAGAGGGACCCCAUGAAUUCGGCUAGCUUGAUGUCAAGUAGGGAAUUGAUGUGAAUUGAUUGAAUUAAAUGUGUGAGUAUGCUUGAAUGAGUGUGUAGAUACAAUUUAUACACUUUGAUUUCAUGAUUUGAAGCUAUUGAGGAAUUAGGGUUCUUGAACCAUGGGAAAUUGGGG